rnacentral:rRNA from 1 species
CCUACGGGAGGCAGCAGUGGGGGAUAUUGCACAAUGGGGGGAACCCUGAUGCAGCGACGCCGCGUGGGUGAAGAAGCGCCUCGGCGCGUAAAGCCCUGUCAGCAGGGAAGAAAAUUACGGUACCUGAAGAAGAAGCCCCGGCUAACUCCGUGCCAGCAGCCGCGGUAAUACGUAGGGGGCAAGCGUUAUCCGGAUUUACUGGGGGUAAAGGGGGCGCAGACGGCGAUGCAAGCCAGGAGUGAAAGCCCGGGGGCCAACCCCGGGACUGCUCUUGGAACUGCGUGGCUGGAGUGCAGGAGGGGCAGGCGGAAUUCCUGGUGUAGCGGUGAAAUGCGUAGAUAUCAGGAGGAACACCGGUGGCGAAGGCGGCCUGCUGGACUGCAACUGACGUUGAGGCCCGAAAGCGUGGGGAGCAAACAGGAUUAGAUACCCCAGUAGUC